AGGAAAGGGAGGACAAAAGGUAGCGAUGCCCGUGAGCCGUGACCUAACCCGCGCCUCCUCUCCUGCCACCGCCGCUUCCUCCUCUCCUUUCCUCGAUGUCGCCAGGGCCUCGCCCCCACCGGCCAAAUCCUCUCCUUCCUCGAGCCCCGCGUCCCCCUCCAGCUCCCGUAUGCAUCUCUCCUCCUCCCAUGCGCUCCCCUGUCCCAUCCAUGCCCAGCGGGACGGUCGCAGUAGUGGCGAGCAGCGGCGGGAGUAGGGGCAGGGUCAAGGCAGGUGUUGACGGCAUGGAUGCAGACGACGGUGGUCAUCGACGUGGGCCCGGCGUGCGUAGCGGCGGACGGAAGGGCAGCAGUGGCCUGUGGGGUGUCGACCGGAACGGCAAUGACCUCCAUGGAAGAGAAGGGCCCGGCAGGCUCGUGCAGGCGGGAGAAGCUGGGGGCGCUCGUCCAUUGGGCAGAUGGCGGCCAUCCAAGUUUCUUCAAUCGAUCUGGACAGGGUCAUGGCAGCGUACGCGAGGGUUGGAGGCGAGCGACCCUCUAGAGCCGCGCACGUCGAGAGGUAGCGGCCGUGCCCCUCCUCCUUCCCUUCUCUUCUCCCCUCCUCCUCUCCAAUCUAGGCUGUCGUCCUCUCACAUCUUCCUCUUCCAGUUUUUUAAACCUAAUUUGAUUUCUCAAUUUCUGGUUACUUGUGAAGAGUAGAAGAAUUUUGAUGAAGAACAGUGUGAAUUCUCUCUCUCUCUCUCUCUCUCUCUCUCUCUCUCUCUCAAUACAAUCAUGUUCGUUCCUGCAUUUUGAUGUUUGAUUUUUUCUGUGUAAUAGAUCACAUGGCAUGAUUUUAUACUCCUAUUAACUACUGACAAAAGCUAGAUUUGUAAAUGAAGGUCUCAAAAGUGUUUGUUUUUACCUUUGGUCAGACCAGUACAUGGUGUUGGUCAUGUAGAAGAUGUUGGUCAUGCCUCUGUAUGAGCUAGCUGUAAUAUUUUUCCACAGAAUAUGAUGAUUCAUGUUCAUCUUAGAUAUGGUUGUUUUCACCAUACCAAAGUACAUGGAAAUCUAGGCUUGCAGAUUAAUACAACUCAGAUGCUUUGUUUUGGGGAGGAGGUAGAAAUCAGUGGUUGUGCUUAAGCUUUUGUUCUUUAUUUACCUUUGAGGCAUAAAUUCAAAUGAUUAGUAUAUGCAUGGUAAUUUUUGUGCUUUUGUCAACCACUAGAGGACCGUGUGGCAACUAAUUUAUGCUUGAUUAUCUCCUCCUUUUCAUUCCCGACGUUUAGCUCUUGCCCUUGAUCACUUGAAAGGAGCUCUUCCUCGGCCUCCGCCUGGGCGCGACCUGCACUGUCAGUAUGUAUCUUGUGGCCAUGCCAAAAAUAAACACUUAAUAAAAUUUCUGUUUUUAACUAAUCCCUCUUCCGUUUCAGUCAUGUUCAAGUCUGAAUGCCUUUUCUCCUAUAUAUAUAUUUAUAUAUAUAUAUAUAUGUGUGUUACAUCAGGUGAUGACAUAAUUUAGUUAAUGGCAUUAUGGCAGGACUCAUGUUGUCAUUGGUUACAAUGGUGGCUCAUGAAGUUCAAAAAAUGUGUUCUUUACAGAUUUAAGAUGAUAGAAAUUCAGAAUAGGUAAGACAAUAAGCCAUGUUUAUUCUUUGAUGCUCUAGCUGUCAUAUGUCGCAUAGUUUUUUCCGCCCCACAUACUACUGGCCGCCUCUAUGUUGUUUUAUUAGAUCCAUCUCCAUGAGCUUUGUUAUUUAUAGUGGAUCUGUUUAUUAUUUUCGGUCCAGCUUAGGGUAAGCAUUAUGAAUGACAUGCUGUUUUCAUCCUUUUGUUGUCAAUAAUUGAUGUGGGUAUGCUUUAGUUUUCUCUCCGCGGCCAACUUACUGUAGUUAGUGAAGAAAAAGAUAAUUGAAGGAAGUACAUGCUAUACUACUAUGUUGACUAGAUAAAAAUAUUAUGGAUGGAGUGUUUUAGUUGUGUUCAAACUUCAGGGGAGGAGUACAGCCAGCCAGGUUAGUGUGUACAUUGCUUUUAUAUUUUUAACGGGCUGAUGCGCAUGCAUUCUUUGUGUUUCCCUAAAAUGAGCUAAUUAAUUCACUUAAUUUUCCGUGUGAUUUGCAGCACUGCAAUAGAAGAAAAUGCAGAAAGAAUGAACAAGAAGCUAUAGAUGGAUAUGUCCAGGGUGGCAUGUGAAUGAUCUGUACAACACCAUUGCAAGAGUGACUGAUGGUGCUUAUGAAGGUCCGAGGCGUGCAUAAACUCUUACUCAACCGUGUCGGUCGGGAAUAAGAUGGUAGAGGACCCAAGGUUUCUCAGUAGUGACUCUUCUUCGUUGCCGAGUUCUCAAGGCGCUCUGCCUGGUCAUCAGAAUGGAGCUGCCGAACAUGGGGAGUAGACGUUGCACGACCAAUCCAGUGGAAUGUCCAGAAAGCCAUCAGGGGAGCAGCUCGCUGCUGAGGCUGGUGUGCGCUCUCAGUUCUCUACCCUGUCGUCUCGCUCCCUCUCGCACAACUAGGCACCACAAAGGAGAGUAUGAUACCAGGAUCAACUUAGCCAGGCAAGCUAUGGAGAUGAGCUCAAAUAUCAUCUGGAAGCAGGCUUCUUACUAAGGUUAAAGAACAUGAAGAAGAGAUUGCACUUUUAAGAAGUCAGCUUGCUGACUAUUCAGUGAAGGCAUUUGAUUGGCAGCAACAAGAUUUGGUUGAUGCUGCAUCAAAAGCUUGAGCCUAUAGACAAGACAUCAUCGAAGAGAACAUCCGACUGACAUAUGCGUUGCAGUGCGUCCGGAACCACCAAAAACGCCCACCAUGAAGAGUUGGUUAGAUCACGAGGACCUGCAUUUCAAAUGAAUGUGAGUUACAUUCAGAACUCCGUUAUCAUGUAGCAUCCCAUGGGUGAUUUUGGGAAAAUGUAUCCUGGUUACUACACUGGUCACUCAGGCAUGCUCGCACCGGCAGCCCUCAGUGGCGAGACAAAGGAUGCAGCCAUGGGAAGAUGAAUGCACUGGACUUCUUGAGAUCGAAGCCACCAACGGCAUAUGCCAAGGGCGUCCAUGGACAACCUGCCCAAGGUCUGGAUUCACCGAGGAGGUACAACCGGACACUUGGUCGGCUGCCUGCUGAAAGGGGGAGGAGUGAAAAACAAACUGAGGCGGGCGGAGGUAAGCGGCGGUGCAGUCCCCCCGUGGCUUCUUCGUGGCGAGGGCUCAAGGAUUGGGAAGGAGAAGAGGAGGCGGCGGAUUGGGGAGGAGGAGGCGGGGAUUGGGAGAAGAGGAGGCAGGGGAUUGGAGAGGGGGCUCUUGUUGAAUAUACUGUUUUGCGCAGAUUGAGAUGCAUCACAUGAUGUUUUCCUUUUACAUUUAUGAGUAUUAGAGAGUCCUUUCUUUUUCCACAAGGGGCAGUAGCUGUGCCAUUUGAUUCGAAGGACAAAGAGUUGAUCACAAAGGGGUAACAUUUAGGAUAUAUACACAAAAGAGUAUAGAACCAAAUUAUAUGAUGUAAUUGACUACUAUUUCUAUUAACUUCUGUACACAAUGUUCACGAGUUCAUGUAUUAAGUACAUUUUAUUGUCA